UACAGAGGGGGCAAGCGUUGUUCGGAAUUACUGGGCGUAAAGGGCGCGUAGGCGGCCAACUAAGUCGGACGUGAAAUCCCCCGGGCUCAACCCGGGAACUGCGUCCGAUACUGGAUGGCUUGAAUCCGGGAGAGGGAUGUGGAAUUCCAGGUGUAGCGGUGAAAUGCGUAGAUAUCUGGAGGAACACCGGUGGCGAAGGCGGCAUCCUGGACCGGUAUUGACGCUGAGGCGCGAAAGCCGGGGAGCAAACGGG
rnacentral:rRNA from 1 species